UAGUCCACGCCGUAAACGAUGAUAACUAGCUGUUCGGGCCCACAGGGCUUGAGUGGCGCAGCUAACGCAUUAAGUUAUCCGCCUGGGGAGUACGGUCGCAAGAUUAAAACUCAAAGGAAUUGACGGGGGCCUGCACAAGCGGUGGAGCAUGUGGUUUAAUUCGACGCAACGCGCAGAACCUUACCAGCUUUUGACAUCCUGGUCGCGGAUUUGGGAGACCAUUUCCUUCAGUUCGGCUGGACCAGUGACAGGUGCUGCAUGGCUGUCGUCAGCUCGUGUCGUGAGAUGUUGGGUUAAGUCCCGCAACGAGCGCAACCCUCAUCCUUAGUUGCCAGCAUUUAGUUGGGCACUCUAAGGAAACUGCCGGUGAUAAGCCGGAGGAAGGUGGGGAUGACGUCAAGUCCCAUGCCGUACCUAAGACUGGCGUACUACACGUGCUACAACUAGGCGAUGACAGUGAGCAGCUAACCCGCCGAGGGCGAAGCGUAAUCUCUAAAGACUCU
rnacentral:rRNA from 1 species